UUAGCUGUCACUGCAGGAUGGGCCCGCGGCGCAUUAGCUAGUUGGUGAGGUAACGGCUCACCAAGGCGACGAUGCGUAGCCGACCUGAGAGGGUGACCGGCCACACUGGGACUGAGACACGGCCCAGACUCCUACGGGAGGCAGCAGUAGGGAAUCUUCCGCAAUGGACGAAAGUCUGACGGAGCAACGCCGCGUGAGCGAAGAAGGUCUUCGGAUCGUAAAGCUCUGUUGUCAGGGAAGAACAAGUAUCGUUCGAACAGGGCGGUACCUUGACGGUACCUGACGAGGAAGCCACGGCUAACUACGUGCCAGCAGCCGCGGUAAUACGUAGGUGGCAAGCGUUGUCCGGAAUUAUUGGGCGUAAAGCGCGCGCAGGCGGUUCCUUAAGUCUGAUGUGAAAUCUCGCGGCUCAACCGCGAGCGGCCAUUGGAAACUGGGGAACUUGAGUGCAGGAGAGGGGAGCGGAAUUCCACGUGUAGCGGUGAAAUGCGUAGAGA
rnacentral:rRNA from 1 species